CAAAGAAUAGUUUAAAAGUAGAAUCUCGGCUUUGGGUGCCGAUGGUGGGGCUAGUGCUUCUUCUUUGA
rnacentral:tRNA from 1 species